rnacentral:rRNA from 1 species
GUACCCGUACCGUAAACCGACACAGGUGGAUGAGGAGAGAAUCCUAAGGCCAACGGGAGAAGGGUUGUUAAGGAACUCGGCAAAAUGACCCCGUAACUUCGGGAGAAGGGGUGCCACAGUGAUGUGGCCGCAGAGAAUAGGCUCAAGCAACUGUUUAGCAAAAACACAGGUCUAUGCGAAACCGAAAGGUGAAGUAUAUGGGCUGACGCCUGCCCGGUGCUGGAAGGUUAAGAGGAGAGGUUAGCCGCAAGGCGAAGCUUUGAAUCGAAGCCCCAGUGAACGGCGGCCGUAACUAUAACGGUCCUAAGGUAGCGAAAUUCCUUGUCGGGUAAGUUCCGACCCGCACGAAAGGCGUAAUGAUUUGAGCACUGUCUCAACAACACACCCGGUGAAAUUGAAGUACCAGUGAAGAUGCUGGUUACCCGCGCCAGGACGGAAAGACCCCAUGGAGCUUUACUCCAGUUUGAUACUGGGAUUCGGUACUGCAUGUACAGGAUAGGUGGGAGACGGAGAAGGAUGGACGCCAGUCUGUUCGGAGUCGCUGUUGGGAUACCACCCCUGUAGUACUGGGUUUCUAACCAGUUACCAUGAUCUGGUAAUGGGACAAUGUCAGGCGGGGAGUUUGACUGGGGCGGUCGCCUCCGAAAGGGUAUCGGAGGCGCCCAAAGGUUCCCUCAGAAUGGUUGGAAACCAUUUGAAGAGUGCAAAGGCAGAAGGGAGCUUGACUGCGACACCGACGGGUGGAGCAGGUACGAAAGUUGGAGUUAGUGAUCCGGUGGUAUGUGAGUGGAAAUGCCAUCGCUCAACGGAUAAAAGGUACCCUGGGGAUAACAGGCUGAUCUCCCCCAAGAGUUCAUAUCGACGGCGGUGUUUGGCACCUCGAUGUCGGCUCAUCACAUCCUGGGGCUGAAGUAGGUCCCAAGGGUUGGGCUGUUCGCCCAUUAAAGCGGUACGCGAGCUGGGUUCAGAACGUCGUGAGACAGUUCGGUCCCUAUCCGGCGCGGGCGGAGGAUAUUUGAGAGGAGCUGUCCUUAGUACGAGAGGACCGGGAUGGACG